rnacentral:rRNA from 1 species
GAACAAAACUGUCUCUUACGGACUAGCCAAUGAAAUUGAUCCUUCAGAACAAAAGCUGAWAUUAACCCAUAAGACGAGAAGACCCUGUGGAGCUUCAAAACCAAAACCACCAAACAUGCUUCCUGGUUUUUUAGUUGGGGCGACUUUGGAGCAAAAAAAACCCUCCAAAACAUAAAUCCAUUUAUUAAGACUAACACAUCAAAAAUAAUAUCAUAGACCCAGCAGUACCUAUUUACUGCCUGACCAAUGAACCAAGUUACCCCAGGGAUAACAGCGCCAUCCUCUUCUAGAGUCCCUAUCGACAAGAGGGUUUACGACCUCGAUGUUGGAUCAGGGCACCCCUAUAGUGCAGCCGCUAUAAAAGGUUCGUUUGUUCAACGAUUAAAGUCCUACGUGAUCUGAGUUCAGACCGGA